rnacentral:misc_RNA from 1 species
CGUGUCGAAAAACCUUGCGGUGGUGCGAUCAGACGAUGGCAGAUUCGGAUUCGACAGACGGUUUGGCCUUUGCGUGCCAAAGCCGGCAAAGGCGUUGAGGUUUGUCGCUUGCGUGACUGCCAGCGGUAACCCCGAUUGCAGUGUCAACACGCCCGCGAGUUCGACAUUAUUCAGGAAUGCUCCGGUGGCUCCACCAGGAUUAAAUUUCUUUCCUUUGCCAAAUGGCAAUUCAUAAGUAACGCUCGCCACAAACACAUUCG